GUUUUGAAAUUAAUCUAUUAGGGUGUGUUUGGCAUCAUUGUUGUUUUUGGUUUUUUUUUUGUUUUUUACCCCCAAAAUAAAAUAAAACAGUGUUUAGUAAAAUAGCUUUAAAAAAAACUUUACAGCUAUUUUGUAAAAAAUAAAACGGUAAACCUAAAACACCUCAAAGCAGUUUUUGAGGUAUUGAUUUUUUAAAAAAAAAAAUAAUAAACCUAUCAAAGCGUAUCAUCGAUUGUUCUCCUUCAAAUUCAAUAUCUCAUCUUUCUUCCUCUAAUCAUUCUCAAGAUCCAAGGAGCAAGCAAUUGCAGAUAAGUCGGGAUGGGAUCGGAAGCAGCGGUGGCAUGGACUCUAGAUGACAAAAAUGCUACAAGCCAAGGGUGAGCAAGGAAAAUAUUUGCUACAAGUGCGGAGCAAGCAGAAGGGUAUACAGUCUGGUGGGCAAUUAAAGAGAACAUCAGCCAAUAUAAGAAUAUCAUAAUCAGAUCAGACUG